rnacentral:lncRNA from 1 species
ACUCAUUGAUCACUCAUUGAUCACUCAUUGGUCACUCAUUGGUCACUCAGGGUCACUCAAUGGUCACUCAUUGGUCACUCAUUGAUCACUCAGUGGUCACUCAUUGAUCACUCAAUGGUCACUCAGGGUCACUCACUCAGUGGUCACUCAUUGAUCACUCAUUGGUCACUCAGGGUCACUCACUCAUUGGUCACUCAUUGGUCACUCAUUGGUCACUCACUGGUCACUCAUUGAUCACUCAUUGGUCACUCAGGUCACUCAUUGGUCACUCAUUGGUCACUCGGGGUCACUCAUUGAUCACUCAUUGGUCACUCAUUGAUCACUCAUUGGUCACUCAGGGUCACUCACUCAUUGGUCACUCAUUGGUCACUCAUUGGUCACUCAUUGAUCACUCACUGGUCACUCAUUGGUCACUCACUGGUCACUCAUUGGUCACUCGGGGUCACUCAUUGGUCACUCAUUGGUCACUCAUUGGUCACUCAUUGGUCACUCACUGGUCACUCAUUGGUCACUCAUUGGUCACUCAGGGUCACUCAUUGGUCACUCAUUGGUCACCCAUUGGUCACUCAUUGGUCACUCAUUGGUCACUCAUUGGUCACUCAUUGGUCACUCAUUGGUCACUCAGGGUCACUCAUUGGUCACUCAUUGGUCACUCAUUGGUCACUCAGUGGUCACUCAGUGGUCACUCAUUGGUCACUCAUUGGUCACUCAUUGGUCACUCAUUGAUCACUCAGGGGUCACUCAUUGGUCACUCACUGGUCACUCUGGUCACUCAUUGGUCACUCAUUGGUCACUCACUGGUCACUCACUGGUCACUCACUGGUCACUCAAGGUCACUCACUGGUCACUCACUGGUCACUCAUUGGUCACUCAGGGUCACUCAGGUCACUCAGGGUCACUCAUUGGUCACUCAUUGGUCACUCAGGGGUCACUCUGGUCACUCAUUGAUCACUCAUUGGUCACUCAUUGAUCACUCAUUGGUCACCCAGGGUCACUCA